rnacentral:lncRNA from 1 species
GACUACAUAGUUCAAGGUGCACAUUUUGUGCACAUAGAGGCGCUGAUGGAUGAAAACACCUAAAACGACGAAACGACGCGAUGACUGCUGCAAUUCAGCAGCUUCGUCCGCCGCACAUUGAUAUAUUUUAAUAAAUUUUGAAGUUUUAUCAAAAAUUUAUCAAACAUGCAUGAAUAGAAUAAUUGAAUGUUCACAACUUAUAAAGAGAUUUAAUUAUACAAAUAUGCUUUGUUAUAUAUGCUAUAAAUUUUUGUGUCAUCGAUAUGUUAUAACCUAUAAAAUUAAAAAACACGUAUACUUGCAUCUUUACUGAUAACUGCUACACAAGGGGCCAUUUUAGGAAAUUCUACAAAAACGCAAAACGAAAUCCUUUACAAUACACUAUACAUAUUUGCUGGAUGUAUUUUUGUGUAAAAAUAAUCGCGAAUACUCAACACGAACGUUACAAAAUAAUGACACUAGAUUUUAGAACGAUCGUGUCGAAGUACAGUCAUUAGAAUCAAGAAAAACUUUUUCAAAUAAUAGUUUUAUUGGUAUAAAGCACAUAAAAUAUAAUAAAUGUUGUAACGUGGUACAAAGGAUUAUGUACAUUAGGCACAUACAGUAAUCUUAAUUUAUAUUAUAACAAUUACAUAUGUUAAUUAUAUUUAUACAAAACGCAAAUAUUUUUUACAAUAUUACCCAGCAAACACAAAGUUACAUGUAACGUGCUUGUUAGUUGUAAUUUCUCACUCAAUAAUAUAAUUGCAAUAUAACAUACGUGUUAUAUUACAAUUACAUUGUUGAGUGGGAAAUUACAACUAACAGGUAUGUACGUUACAUGUAACUUGGUGUUUGGUGGGUAUAAUUGAACGACUCAAACUGAUGUAUCAUGUAAACUCUAUUAUUGAUCAUUAUAUUUUUUCUUUAAAGUUUUGUACUUGCGCAAUAUGUAGAUCGAGCUUCUAACUCUUUGAUCACAAUUCAAGUUACCAUGAUUUAUCAUAUCUAUCUUUUCGGGAUUGGUCUUUGUUUUGUUUUUAUUAAAGGCUCAAUUUUUAGCUUUGUUCAGAAAUAUUGAUAUUCUUUUGAAUAGUCUUAGCCCAUGUCAACAGUUGAAAGACAAUACAUGCAAAAUGAAUCUAAGCUGCUAAGUGUAAUAAGAAAAAAUACAAAAAAAUAUGCCUUUUAUAAUAUAAUCCAUAUCUAACAUAUGAUCAUUAGAAUAAACAAUAUUAGCUGAAUAUAAUGUACAAAUAACACUUUAUUACCGUUUUGUACAAAAUGAAUGACGUACUUUAGCGCGCUGUGAUAUGACACAUAAUAAAUCUUGAACUAACUGCAACAGUGCAAAGGGGUCUUGCAAGUCAAUUGACAAAAAUGAUAAUAAUUAUUAUCAUCUGCGAUUGUUUCCAUUAGAGACAAACGAUUAAAACAAAAAGUCAACAGUGCAAACUGUACUUGUACUGAUCGACGCAUUAGGUUUGUUCUAAUGUAGUGUUAUACUGUUAAUUUUUCUCUUUUUCUCUCCAUAUUAUAUAUUACGUAAUUAUAUAUAUUUACGUAAUUUAUCUGUGUAUAUUUUAUAAUAUAUGUUUUAUUUCAAGUGUAGAAAAAGUAAUAGUUACAAGAGGAACGAAAACAUUGAAUCUUCUUCAUACGGUUUUAUACAAAACAUAACAUGGACGAAAUAUGUUCAAGAUAAUGUUCAAUACAGUUAAUUAGAAUUUUAAUCUUGAAAUCUCUUCCUAAUAGUAUUGAAAAGCAUUGAUCAUCUUUAUGUAUCGAAAAUUGCAGAAAUAUUUUGUUUGAUGCAACAACGACUAAUAUUAAAAAUUUACACUGAACCUAUCAAUUAAAAGAUUCAGGGCCAGUUGUUCCAACUUCUUGAUAAACUUACCUACCAGAUAAGCAUGUGUCUAUCUUCAUUUCUUUUCUUAAAUAAAUAAAGACAAACAUAUUUAUCUGAUAGGUAAGUUUACCAAGAAGUUGGAACAACCGAGUCAACCGACCUUCAGUGAAUUGGGCAAUUGACAACAUGGGCAGUCCAAGUGCAAAGUUUUAUAAUGCUAUGUGCAACAAAGGAAUUUGUUUUUCGACAUUUUGUGACCGUAAACAGAUAAGAAAGUAAUUCGUUGUGCUCUGGACACAUUCGACUACCAUCGUGUUCUCGAGAAACGAGAGUCCUAUAAACAGAGUAAUUCAUGGAAUUUAUACAGCGCGAGGAUGCUGUACCGAGGCUUCUGUUGAGGAAGACACGUUGCCAGCAUUAUCUAAAACCCUUGCUGGUUUUGUCGGAUCAUUGUCUUCGGUUAACAUAUCACUCUAUCUGUAAUUACAAAUCACCGAUUUGUUGGAAAGAUCAAAGACUAGCGACAUAUAGAAAAAAAUGUAAAGAAAUUAAAAAGCAUCAUGUGGAGUCAUCAGUUGCUAUGGAUCUCAUAUAUAUAUAUAUAAUAAGUCAUGUGCCAAGGUAUUAGUAAUCUUGCGUCGAAAGAUCGUGCAUUAGUGCGAUCUAACAGGUGAAGAGGCUCACACCUGUAAGACCGCAAGGCUGCUCGUUUGCGUGAGGACUCGAUUAUUGUCUGCCAAUUGCGUGUCGAAGAGGUGGAGUGACUGGCUGAGUAGGCGUACACCACGAGGCAUCGAAACCAGCCAAUGGUACCUCCUCGAUGCUUUGCGUUAUGUAUUCUUUAUGUUGCCAAGUCACUAUCUAUAUCUGCACUCCGCCCUUAUACGUACGCGUACAUAUGUCUCGUACAUAUUUCGCACCAUGAUGCGAGAGAUAUCUUCGAGAAUUUCUCGGGAGAUGAUCACGUUCGUAUCACGCAAUUUCCAAUUUUUUUUUUAAUAAAAAAUAAUUUGACUUUACAGCUGAUAAUCUAUUUAAAUAUCUUGAUAACAAAGCCUUUAAAUGCAAUAGAAUUCGUCAAACUAAUUAGUUCUGAAUGAAAGCACAAAUCAAUUUGCCAUAUAUUAGAAAAGUGGUAUAGAUAAAUUAGUGGCUUGGCUUAGUUAUUUACUUCGUUUUGUUUUAGAAAAUAUUUAUUUUAUCGUUGACAGAUGAUUUUUACGGGUUUAUAUGUAUUAUAUAUAUAUAUAUAUAUAAACGCAUGUAGUUGCUCAAGUAUAUCAUGUAUUAUGAUGUAUAAUAAUAGAUGCUGAAGUAAACGAGGAAAGUCUUAAGAAAUAAGACUCUUAUCGUUUUUAUUCUCGAAUACAUAUUCUAAAUAACGAUUUUCCAGUUAUUUUAUACAAAAAAAUCGACUCUCUAAAUUGAUUGAAUAUUAUCACGAAUAUAAAAGUAUGAAUUUAUUGCCACCCUGUAUAUCGCAGUUCAUCUCAUCGCGCCAAGUCGCAUAUAAUGUACAGCGAAGCGAGAGAUGAAAGGCACUCCGCUUAUCUAAACAAAAGCCUGUGCCGAAGUGUUUAUCACGGGCGAGUUGCUUAGCUUGCUGUCUGACUGGCUUUGACUGUCUGUCAACCGUCAGGAAAAACGAAAUGCAGCGAAACAAGAGGAAUGCCGCUGCUUAUCCGCAGGUCUCUCUUCUCAUCCACAAUGGGUCAGUUUACGUUGAGAGAGAGAGAGAGAGAGAGAGAGAGAGAGAGAGA